AUGAACGCUAGCUACAGGCUUAACACAUGCAAGUCGAGGGGCAGCAUGGUCUUAGCUUGCUAAGGCCGAUGGCGACCGGCGCACGGGUGAGUAACACGUAUCCAACCUGCCGUCUACUCUUGGACAGCCUUCUGAAAGGAAGAUUAAUACAAGAUGGCAUCAUGAGUCCGCAUGUUCACAUGAUUAAAGGUAUUCCGGUAGACGAUGGGGAUGCGUUCCAUUAGAUAGUAGGCGGGGUAACGGCCCACCUAGUCUUCGAUGGAUAGGGGUUCUGAGAGGAAGGUCCCCCACAUUGGAACUGAGACACGGUCCAAACUCCUACGGGAGGCAGCAGUGAGGAAUAUUGGUCAAUGGGCGAGAGCCUGAACCAGCCAAGUAGCGUGAAGGAUGACUGCCCUAUGGGUUGUAAACUUCUUUUAUAAAGGAAUAAAGUCGGGUAUGGAUACCCGUUUGCAUGUACUUUAUGAAUAAGGAUCGGCUAACUCCGUGCCAGCAGCCGCGGUAAUACGGAGGAUCCGAGCGUUAUCCGGAUUUAUUGGGUUUAAAGGGAGCGUAGAUGGAUGUUUAAGUCAGUUGUGAAAGUUUGCGGCUCAACCGUAAAAUUGCAGUUGAUACUGGAUAUCUUGAGUGCAGUUGAGGCAGGCGGAAUUCGUGGUGUAGCGGUGAAAUGCUUAGAUAUCACGAAGAACUCCGAUUGCGAAGGCAGCCUGCUAAGCUGCAACUGACAUUGAGGCUCGAAAGUGUGGGUAUCAAACAGGAUUAGAUACCCUGGUAGUCCACACGGUAAACGAUGAAUACUCGCUGUUUGCGAUAUACUGCAAGCGGCCAAGCGAAAGCGUUAAGUAUUCCACCUGGGGAGUACGCCGGCAACGGUGAAACUCAAAGGAAUUGACGGGGGCCCGCACAAGCGGAGGAACAUGUGGUUUAAUUCGAUGAUACGCGAGGAACCUUACCCGGGCUUAAAUUGCAGAUGAAUUACGGUGAAAGCCGUAAGCCGCAAGGCAUCUGUGAAGGUGCUGCACGGUUGUCGUCAGCUCGUGCCGUGAGGUGUCGGCUUAAGUGCCAUAACGAGCGCAACCCUUGUUGUCAGUUACUAACAGGUUCCGCUGAGGACUCUGACAAGACUGCCAUCGUAAGAUGUGAGGAAGGUGGGGAUGACGUCAAAUCAGCACGGCCCUUACGUCCGGGGCUACACACGUGUUACAAUGGGGGGUACAGAGGGCCGCUACCACGCGAGUGGAUGCCAAUCCCCAAAACCUCUCUCAGUUCGGACUGGAGUCUGCAACCCGACUCCACGAAGCUGGAUUCGCUAGUAAUCGCGCAUCAGCCACGGCGCGGUGAAUACGUUCCCGGGCCUUGUACACACCGCCCGUCAAGCCAUGGGAGCCGGGGGUACCUGAAGUGCGUAACCGCGAGGAGCGCCCUAGGGUAAAACUGGUGACUGGGGCU
rnacentral:rRNA from 1 species